rnacentral:tRNA from 1 species
GGAGAGGUGUCCGAGCUGGCCGAAGGAUCUCGCCUGCUAAGCGAGUAUACGGGCUUAAAUCUGUAUCGAGGGUUCGAAUCCCUCCCUCUCCGCCA